rnacentral:tRNA from 18 species
CCGCCACUAGCUCAUCAGGACAGAGCAUCAACCUUCUAAGUUGAGUGUACGGGGUUCAAGUCCUCGGUGGCGGCCCA